AGUGGCCCUGGCAGAGAUGAGUCGUCCCCAGCUCCUCGCAGACACGCGCCUCACCAUCCGAGUCACCUGGAGAAGGAGCGCAGGCAGUCAAAGGAGCUCACCUAAGGAUGACCAGUUUUUCAGCUGCCUGUGAGCGGUGGCCAAAUUGUAGAUGCAUUGAGCCUGGGCAGCCCUCUGACCCUCGCCCAGCGCACCUGAUGCAAAGAUCAGCAGGAAUCAUGUCACCAAAACGGUGAGGAUUCUAAGAAGAGGGUGAACGAAAGAUGCGAAACCCCGCUUCCGGCUUCUGGAAGUCUUGAAUGGCCACACUCUGGUGAGAGCCCGCUCCCUCCUGCUACCAACUGUCACUGCAGAGACCACCAGUGGGGGAGGAAGCAGCAGCCAGGCACCUCUCCAUUGUUCCAGCUGAGAGCCCCCUCCCUCCUGCUGUCCACUGUCACGGCUGAACUUUGUAACUAAGAAUGUGAUGCCUGAAUUUGCUUUCCCCCCUCCUCCCUCCCAAUCCCCUUUCCUUUUGUGUCAUGUUUUUUUAGAUUGUAAGCCUGUGGGCAG